rnacentral:rRNA from 1 species
CAUAGGUUAAUGAGGCGAACCGGGGGAACUGAAACAUCUAAGUACCCCGAGGAAAAGAAAUCAACCGAGAUUCCCCCAGUAGCGGCGAGCGAACGGGGAGCAGCCCAGAGCCUGAAUCAGUGUGUGUGUUAGUGGAAGCGUCUGGAAAGGCGCGCGAUACAGGGUGACAGCCCCGUACACAAAAAUGCACAUGCUGUGAGCUCGAUGAGUAGGGCGGGACACGUGGUAUCCUGUCUGAAUAUGGGGGGACCAUCCUCCAAGGCUAAAUACUCCUGACUGACCGAUAGUGAACCAGUACCGUGAGGGAAAGGCGAAAAGAACCCCGGCGAGGGGAGUGAAAAAGAACCUGAAACCGUGUACGUACAAGCAGUGGGAGCACGCUUAGGCGUGUGACUGCGUACCUUUUGUAUAAUGGGUCAGCGACUUAUAUUCUGUAGCAAGGUUAACCGAAUAGGGGAGCCGAAGGGAAACCGAGUCUUAACUGGGCGUUAAGUUGCAGGGUAUAGACCCGAAACCCGGUGAUCUAGCCAUGGGCAGGUUGAAGGUUGGGUAAC